GUGAACGCUGGCGGUAGGCCUAACACAUGCAAGUCGAACGGCAGCACCGUAAGAGCUUGCUCUUACGGGUGGCGAGUGGCGGACGGGUGAGGAAUACAUCGGAAUCUACUUUUUCGUGGGGGAUAACGUAGGGAAACUUACGCUAAUACCGCAUACGACCUACGGGUGAAAGCAGGGGAUCUUCGGACCUUGCGCGAUUGAAUGAGCCGAUGUCGGAUUAGCUAGUUGGCGGGGUAAAGGCCCACCAAGGCGACGAUCCGUAGCUGGUCUGAGAGGAUGAUCAGCCACACUGGAACUGAGACACGGUCCAGACUCCUACGGGAGGCAGCAGUGGGGAAUAUUGGACAAUGGGCGCAAGCCUGAUCCGGCCAUACCGCGUGGGUGAAGAAGGCCUUCGGGUUGUAAAGCCCUUUUGUUGGGAAAGAAAAGCAGCAGGUUAAUACCCCGCUGUUCUGACGGUACCCAAAGAAUAAGCACCGGCUAACUUCGUG
rnacentral:rRNA from 1 species